GAUGAACGCUGACAGAAUGCUUAACACAUGCAAGUCUACUUGAAUUUGGGUUUUUUAACUUAGAUUUGGGUGGCGGACGGGUGAGUAACGCGUAAAGAACUUGCCUCACAGCUAGGGACAACAUUUGGAAACGAAUGCUAAUACCUGAUAUUGUGAUUUUAAGGCAUCUUAAAAUUAUGAAAGCUAUAUGCGCUGUGAGAGAGCUUUGCGUCCCAUUAGCUAGUUGGAGAGGUAACGGCUCACCAAGGCGAUGAUGGGUAGCCGGCCUGAGAGGGUGAACGGCCACAAGGGGACUGAGACACGGCCCUUACUCCUACGGGAGGCAGCAGUGGGGAAUAUUGGACAAUGGACCAAGAGUCUGAUCCAGCAAUUCUGUGUGCACGAUGACGUUUUUCGGAAUGUAAAGUGCUUUCAGUUGGGAAGAAAAAAAUGACGGUACCAACAGAAGAAG
rnacentral:rRNA from 1 species